rnacentral:rRNA from 1 species
UACGUAGGGGGCUAGCGUUGUCCGGAAUCAUUGGGCGUAAAGCGCGUGUAGGCGGUCCGGUAAGUCCGCUGUGAAAGUCGGGGGCUCAACCCUCGAAUGCCGGUGGAUACUGUCGGGCUAGAGUGCGGAAGAGGCGAGUGGAAUUCCUGGUGUAGCGGUGAAAUGCGCAGAUAUCAGGAGGAACACCAAUUGGCGAAGGCAGCUCGCUGGGACGUUACUGAC